rnacentral:rRNA from 1 species
UCGGAUUACACUCUUCGGUGAGAAGCGAGAACCUCCGGCCCUUGCCGGGAUAUGAUGACCGAUUCGGAUUAGCUAUGUGGCGGGGUAAAGUCCACCCAGGCGACGAUCCGUAGCUGUUCUGAGAGGAUGAUCAGCCCACACUGGAACUGAGACACGGCCCAGACUCCUACGGGAGGCAGCAGUGGGGAAUAUUGGACAUGGGCGCAAGCCUGAUCCAGCCAUGCCGCGUGAGUGAUGAAGGCGUAGGAUGGUGAAGCUCUUUUGUCCGGGACGAUAAUGACGGUACCGGAAGAAUAAGCCCCGGCUAACUUCGUGCCAGCAGCCGCGGUAAUACGAAGGGGGCUAGCGUUGCUCGGAAUCACUGGGCGUAAAGGGCGCGUAGGCGGCCAUUCAAGUCGGGGGUGAAAGCCUGUGGCUCAACCACAGAAUUGCCUUCGAUACUGUUUGGCUUGAGUAUGGUAGAGGUUGGUGGAACUGCGAGUGUAGAGGUGAAAUUCGUAGAUAUUCGCAAGAACACCGGUGGCGAAGGCAGCCCCCUGGGCUAAGAUUGACGCUCAUGCACGAAAGCGUGGGGAGCAAACAGGAUUAGAUACCCUGGUAGUCCACGCCCUAAACGAUGUCUACUAGUUGUUGGGUCUUAAUUGACUUAGUAACGCAGCUAACGCGUGAAGUAGACCGCCUGGGGAGUACGGUCGCAAGAUUAAAACUCAAAGGAAUUGACGGGGACCCGCACAAGCGGUGGAUGAUGUGGAUUAAUUCGAUGCAACGCGAAAAACCUUACCUACCCUUGACAUGUCAGGAAUCCUUGAGAGAUCGAGGAGUGCCCGAAAGGGAACCUGAACACAGGUGCUGCAUGGCUGUCGUCAGCUCGUGUCGUGAGAUGUUGGGUUAAGUCCCGCAACGAGCGCAACCCUUGUCAUUAGUUGCUACGCAAGAGCACUCUAAUGAGACUGCCGGUGACAAACCGGAGGAAGGUGGGGAUGACGUCAAGUCCUCAUGGCCCUUAUGGGUAGGGCUUCACACGUCAUACAAUGGUACAUACAGAGGGCCGCCAACCCGCGAGGGGGAGCUAAUCCCAGAAAGUGUAUCGUAGUCCGGGUUGUAGUCUGCAACUCGACUACAUGAAGUUGGAAUCGCUAGUAAUCGCGGAUCAGCAUCGCGUAAUGCAUC